rnacentral:rRNA from 1 species
UACGUAGGGUGCGAGCGUUAAUCGGAAUUACUGGGCGUAAAGCGUGCGCAGGCGGUUUUGUAAGCCAGAUGUGAAAUCCCCGGGCUUAACCUGGGAAUGGCAUUUGGGACUGCAAGGCUUGAGUGCGGCAGAGGAGACUGGAAUUCCUGGUGUAGCGGUGGAAUGCGCAGAUAUCAGGAGGAACACCGAUGGCGAAGGCAGGUCUCUGGGCCACUACUGACGCUGAGAAGCGAAAGCAUGGGGAGCGAACAGG